UUUUUCUUUGAUACGAAAGCUUCCUAUUCACUGCACCAUUCUUUAAUCAAUGAGUGACUGGAGGGGAAAAGGAAAGCGAGAAAGAAACAUCGAAUAACGUCCUCAUACUAAGUUUGCUUGUAUUUUGUAGCAUAUUUGGAUUCUGCGUUUUCGAAACAUGC
rnacentral:snoRNA from 14 species